UGAUUUCACUUAUAUGUAAAAUCUAAAAAACAAAGCAAAUGAACAAAUAAAACAACAAAUAAUCAAACCAGCAAACAAACCCCAGAAACACAUUCAUAAAUAGAGAAACUGAUGGUUGACAGAAAAGAGGGGGAUAGGAGAAGAGGUGAAAUAGGUGAAGGGGCUCAAGUACAAACUUCCAGUUAUAAAAUGAACAGCUCAGGAGGACGAAAAGUACAGCCUAGGGAAUAUAGUCAAUAAUACUGUAAUAACUUUGUAUGGUGACAGAUGGUAACCACACCGUCAUGGCGAGCACUUCACAGUGUACAUAAAGUUGAACCACUCUGUUGUACAUCUGAAACUAAUACAAUAUUUUGUUAAGUGUACUUCAAUUUUUUAAGAAAAGCAAAUUGUGAAAUUGUGUGUCCUGUGUGUUUUACAGAGAAAACUGUCCAUGGCUUUCAAUCAUCUCCUCAAAGAAUUAACUUCUGGUUUAGUUAAUGAUUGGACAUUCAGUUUAAAUUAUGCCAGCGCCGUUUUAGCUGAAAAGAGCAUGUGUGACAGGUAAAUAGUCCUAUCACAGAAAGGUCUUGGUGUUUGUGAGCAAAUACUCCCCGACCUUGGAUAAAGCCUCCCUCCCUACCUCUUGUAAUGAACUUUGCAAAAAUGUCCCCGAAAUCAUUUCCAGCGUCUCGGAUGAGCUGUGAACAAUUGCAGACACGGGGGGCAUUUGCGCCUCAAGACGCUGAGGCUCUGCAGCUGGCAAGCGGGAGGCCGACGGCAAGUCACCGGCUGCCCCGGCGUCUUCGUGCGCGGCUGGGCGCCUCUGGGCGCACCCCCGCCCCGCGCGAGCGCUGCGCCUUUAAGGGCCGCUGGGGGCGCUCGGAGAGGUGCGCGCGGCGGGGAGACGGGGUUCGGAGUGGGCGCUGCAGCGUCCCAGAGCCUCGGACUUGGCUGGGGCGCGCGGGAGCGGACGGGCAUGCCCCGCAGCCUCGGACUGGGCACGCACCUGGCCCGGGAGGGCGAGGCACCGCGCCCCGGCCCGGCCAUGGGCAGCUUCCAGCUGGACGACUUCGCGGCGGGCUGGAUCGGAGGUACAGCCAGUGUCAUCGUCGGCCACCCUCUGGACACAGUCAAGACUCGCCUGCAGGCCGGUGCCAACAACGGGAGCACCCUGAGCUGUGUCCGCGCCCUGUACAGGAGGGAGAGUCCAACCUCAGUUUAAAGCCCAGGGUGGCGGCUCACGGGGAGCAGCCAGCCUAUCAGGGGCCUGUGCAUUGCAUUGCGACCAUCGUGCGCACUGACGGCCUGGUGGGACUGUACCGGGGCACCAGCGCCAUGCUGCUGAGGGAUGUCCCAGGCUACUGCCUCUACUUCAUCCCCUAUGUGUUCCUGAGUGAGUGGAUCACCCCAGAGGCCUGUGCCAGCCCCAGCCCCUGCGCCGCGUGGCUGGCGGGCGGCAUGGCAGGAGCAAUUUCUUGGGGAACAGCUACACCUAUGGAUGUCGUGAAAAGUCGGCUCCAAGCUGAUGGGGUUCAUUUAAACAAAUACAAAGGUGUCCUCGACUGUAUCUAUCAGAGUUACCAGAAUGAAGGACUUAAAGUAAGCCCCACAGCAGUCAUGCAGGGUGUUUUUCAGGGGCAUCACCGUGAACGCUGUGCGGGGCUUCCCCAUGAGUGCCACCAUGUUCCUUGGGUAUGAGCUCUCGCUGCAGGUGAUCCGCGGGGACCACACAGUGACCAGCCCCUGAGCACCAGGGCCAGAGUCAGCAGAGCAAGGCCUCCGUCUACUGGCCACAGGUUGCUGCUGAAGGCAGCUUCUCCAGAUGCCGCUGUAGUGAGAGUCCUGGAGAGAGAAGGCCUCCCACCACCCCUGCUGUGAGCCUCGUGGGGGGGGGGGCCUCAGCCCUUUGGCUGGGCCCGGAAUCCCUUCUCCCCCAGCUGCCCGGGCUCUGCUCCUGAGCUGGCCGCUCGGCCGCCACGCUGGAAGGACGCAGCGGAUCACCAUCCGUUUCAGAUCUGCACCGGCACCUGGUGAAACAGCCCCUGCCCCUGCGCAUUGCAAACUCGCUGGGAGGUCCCGGAGGGGCUGGGGUUGCCUCCAAAGUUUCCAAAUAAAAACAUCCAAAACCGCUUCAGCUCCGUUCGGUAUCAGAUGCUUCCGCCUGGACUCCAGGAAACACUGGCCACCCUCACUCUUCCCUCUGUGCAGGCCCCUGCAGCUGUUGCUGGCCCAGAGAGGCCACUCCGCGCAGGGACAGGAGGCCCCGAGCACGGCCGUUCUUCGCCCGCGGCCGACGGUGUGCGGGGUGGACCCCGGCUCGUGUUGCGGCGCCCGCGGCUGCGGCGCUCCGGUGGCGAUGCGCUGGGCACCAGGGCCCGCGGGCCGGGGUUCGCAGGGCCUUAUUUUCAUCUGGGGAACAAAACGAAAUAAAAUACUUUAACCGC